rnacentral:rRNA from 1 species
CGUGUAGGUGGGUGAUCAAGUCGGAUGUGAAAUCCCUGGGCUCGACCCAGGAACUGCAUUCGAAACUGGUUGCCUAGAGUGCUGGAGAGGGAAGCGGAAUUCCUGGUGUAGAGGUGAAAUUCGUAGAUAUCAGGAGGAACACCGGUGGCGAAGGCGGCUUCCUGGACAGUUACUGACGCUGAGACGCGAAAGCGUGGGGAGCAAACA